GAUGAACGCUGGCGGCGUGCCUAAUACAUGCAAGUCGAGCGAACAGACGAGGAGCUUGCUCCUUUGGCGUUAGCGGCGGACGGGUGAGUAACACGUGGGUAACCUACCUAUAAGACUGGGAUAACUUCGGGAAACCGGAGCUAAUACCGGAUAAUAUUUCGAACCGCAUGGUUCGAUAGUGAAAGAUGGCUUUGCUAUCACUUAUAGAUGGACCUGCGCCGUAUUAGCUAGUUGGUAAGGUAACGGCUUACCGAGGCAACGAUACGUAGCCGACCUGAGAGGGUGAUCGGCCACACUGGAACUGAGACACGGUCCAGACUCCUACGGGAGGCAGCAGUAGGGAAUCUUCCGCAAUGGGCGAAAGCCUGACGGAGCAACGCCGCGUGAGUGAUGAAGGUCUUCGGAUCGUAAAACUCUGUUAUUAGGGAAGAACAAACGUGUAAGUAACUGUGCACGUCUUGACGGUACCUAAUCAGAAAGCCACGGCUAACUACGUG
rnacentral:rRNA from 1 species